GUCCAAAAGCCCAAAUUGUGAAGAUGGUGUUCACCCCCAUGUGGCGUCCGCCAUGGGGUCUAAAGGUGAAAACACAGACAGAACAAAAAAACCCAAUUUUUCCCAAAUUCAACUCAUCUUCAACCUCUUACAACCCAUUUUCUCUCAUCUUUAACCCACAUAAAAUCCCACUCACCCAUAUUCACUCAUAAAAACUCUAAUACCCACUACCUUGCCCACUAAUCC
rnacentral:lncRNA from 1 species